rnacentral:rRNA from 1 species
GGCGGAGGAUGCAAGUGUUAUCCGGAAUCACUGGGCGUAAAGCGUCUGUAGGUGGUUCGAAAAGUCCACUGUUAAAAAUUGAGGCUUAACUUCAAAGAUGCCGUGGAAACUUUCAAACUAGAGUAUGGUAGGGGUAGAGGGAAUUUCCAGUGGAGCGGUGAAAUGCGUAGAUAUUGGAAAGACCACCGAUGGCGAAGGCACUCUACUGGGCCAUUACUGACACUGAGAGACGAAAGCUAGGGGGAGCAAAUGGG